UAUUGGACAAUGGGCGGAACCCUGAUCCAGCGACGCCGCGUGAGUGAAGAAGUACUCCGGUAUGUAAAGCUCUAUCAGCAGGGAAGAAAGAAAUGACGGUACCUGACAAAGAAGCCCCGGCUAACCACGUGCCAGCAGCCGCGGUAAUACGUAGGGGGCAAGCGUUAUCCGGAUUUACUGGGUGUAAAGGGAGCGUAGACGGCGAUGCAAGUCUGAAGUGAAAGGCGGGGGCCCAACCCCCGGACUGCUUUGGAAACUGUAUGGCUGGAGUGCAGGAGAGGUAAGUGGAAUUCCUAGUGUAGCGGUGAAAUGCGUAGAUAUUAGGAGGAACAUCAGUGGCGAAGGCGGCUUACUGGACUGUAACUGACGUUGAGGCUCGAAAGCGUGGGGAGCGAACGG
rnacentral:rRNA from 1 species